AAUAUACUCCCUUCGUUCGGAAUACUUGUCCUAGAAAUGGAUAAAAUGGAUGUAUCUAUAACUAAAAUAACUCUAGAUACAAUCAUUUCUAGGACAAGUAUUUUUGGAUGGAGGGAGUAUAAU
rfam:Triticum aestivum genome assembly, contig: Triticum_aestivum_CS42_TGACv1_scaffold_288595_4AL